CUCACAGAUUCCUUGCUUGAUAGUUUGUUGGCAGAGCUUUUUCAAACGAUUUUCUCUAUAAAAGGUAGCCAAAUCCAGCAAUCCUGGCGGGAAGAGAUCGGCAGGGCACAGGGCUGAGGGCCAGACAGCAGCCUAUGGAGGCCAAGGUACU